AGGGAGACAUGUUGGAGGUACUGUGACAACAUCUCCACUUGUCUCCUUCU
ensembl:miRNA gmo-mir-11251 gmo-mir-11251